UACGAAGAAACAGACGGCGACGACGACGACGGGGACGAAAAGGAAGAGUAAGCAAAUCACGUCGACGAAAUCUACGAAGAAACAGACGGCGACGACGACGACGGGGACGAAAAGGAAGAGUAAGCAAAUCACGUCGACGAAAUCUACGAAGAAACAGACGGCGACGACGACGACGGGGACGAAAAGGAAGAGUAAGCAAAUCACGUG